UACGUAGGGUGCAAGCGUUACUCGGAAUUACUGGGCGUAAAGCGUGCGCAGGCGGCUUUGCAAGACAGAUGUGAAAUCCCCGGGCUUAACCUGGGAACUGCAUUUGUGACUGCAUGGCUGGAGUGCGGCAGAGGGGGAUGGAAUUCCGCGUGUAGCAGUGAAAUGCGUAGAUAUGCGGAGGAACACCGAUGGCGAAGGCAGCCCCCUGGGAUAACACUGACGCUCAUGCACGAAAGCGUGGGGAGCAAACAGG
rnacentral:rRNA from 1 species